rnacentral:rRNA from 1 species
UGACUCUCGGCAACGGAUAUCUCGGCUCUCGCAUCGAUGAAGAACGUAGCGAAAUGCGAUACUUGGUGUGAAUUGCAGAAUCCCGUGAACCAUCGAGUCUUUGAACGCAAGUUGCGCCCGARGCCACUAGGCCGAGGGCACGUCUGCCUGGGUGUCACG